GACAGAGGGUGCAAACGUUGUUCGGAAUUACUGGGCGUAAAGCGCGUGUAGGCGGUUCGGUAAGUCGGAUGUGAAAGCCCCGGGCUCAACCCGGGAAGUGCACUCGAUACUGCCGAGCUAGAGUAUCGGAGAGGUUGGUGGAAUUCUCGGUGUAGAGGUGAAAUUCGUAGAUAUCGUAAGGAAGACCAGUGGCGAAGGCGGGUCUCUGGACAGUUCCUGACGCUGAGGCACGAAGGCCAGGGGAGCAAACGGG
rnacentral:rRNA from 1 species